AAUAAGCUAAAUAAGGGCGUAUGGGGAAUGCCUAGGCUCUCAGAGGCGAUGAAGGACGUGAUAAGCUGCGAAAAGCUGCGGGGAUUGGCACAUACAAAUUGAUCCGCAGAUAUCCGAAUGGGGCAACCCACUAUACUGAAGGUAUAGUAUCCGCAAGGAGGCAAACCCGGAGAACUGAAACAUCUAAGUACCCGGAGGAAGAGAAAACAAUAGUGAUUCCGAUAGUAGCGGCGAGCGAACUCGGAAUAGCCCAAACCGGUUCUGUUACGGCAGGAUCGGGGUUGUAGGACCACGACAUUUUAUGCGUAAUGAAUUAGAAUCCUUUGGAAAGAGGAGCCAUAGACGGUGAUAGCCCGGUAUAGGUAAAGAGCGUUAUAGAUAGUGGUAUCCUGAGUAGUGCGGGGCACGUGAAACCCUGUAUGAAUCUGGCGGGACCAUCCGCUAAGGCUAAAUACUCCUGAGAGACCGAUAGUGAACCAGUACCGUGAGGGAAAGGUGAAAAGAACCCUGAACAAGGGAGUGAAAUAGACCCUGAAACCAUACGCUUACAAGCGGUCGGAGCCCCUUUGGGGUGACGGCGUGCCUUUUGCAUAAUGAGCCUACGAGUUACUUUAUCUAGCAAGGUUAAGAUGUUCAGCAUCGGAUCCGUAGCGAAAGCGAGUCUUAAUAGGGCGUAUAGUUAGGUUGAGUAGACGCGAAACCGUGUGAUCUACCCUUGGGCAGGUUGAAGCUGUGGUAACACAUAGUGGAGGACCGAACCCGUUGACGUUGAAAAGUCUUGGGAUGACCUGAGGGUAGGGGUGAAAGGCCAAUCAAACUCGGAAAUAGCUCGUACUCCCCGAAAUGCAUUUAGGUGCAGCGUUGAUUUAUAGUUUUAUAGAGGUAGAGCUACUGAUUGGAUGCGGGGGCUUCACCGCCUACCAAUUCCUGACAAACUCCGAAUGCUAUAAAAUGUUAAUCAGCAGUGAGGGCAUGGGUGCUAAGGUCCAUGUCCGAGAGGGAAAGAACCCAGACCAUCAGCUAAGGUCCCCAAAUGUAUGUUAAGUUGAAAAAACGCGGUUGGACUGCCCAGACAGCUAGGAUGUUGGCUUGGAAGCAGCCAUUCAUUUAAAGAGUGCGUAACAGCUCACUAGUCGAGCGGUCCGGCAUGGAUAAUAAUCGGGCAUAAACAUACUACCGAAGCUAUGGCAUCGUAAGAUGGGUAGGGGAGCAUUGUAACAAAGUUGAAGGUUUACUGUGAGGUAAGCUGGAUUGGUUACAAAAGAAAAUGUAGGCAUAAGUAACGAUAAUGCGGGCGAGAAACCCGCACACCGAAAGACCAAGGUUUCCCCGGCCAUGCUAAUCAGCCGGGGGUCAGUCGGGACCUAACGCGAACCCGAAAGGGGUAGUGGAUGGACAACAGGUUAAUAUUCCUGUACCUGCUCACAUUAAAAGUGACGGAGGAUUAAAUUUGGUGCGUGCUGACGGAAUAGCACGUUGAAGCUACUUAACGUAGUGAUAGUACACCACGGCUACGGCUACGGUGAUAAUCCAGAGGAGAUACUUCCAAGAAAAGCGAGUGAAGCAGCCCGUACCGUAAACCGACACAGGUGGUUGGGAUGAGGAUUCUAAGGUGCUCGAGAGAUUCAUGGCUAAGGAACUAGGCAAAAUCGACCCGUAACUUCGGGAGAAGGGUCGCCCCACUCCGGUGGGGCCGCAGUGAAGAGGUCCAGGCGACUGUUUAUCAAAAACACAGGGCUCUGCGAAAUCGAAAGAUGAAGUAUAGGGCCUGACACCUGCCCGGUGCCGGAAGGUUAAGAGGAGAUGUUAGCAUUUGCGACGCAUUGAAUUGAAGCCCCGGUAAACGGCGGCCGUAACUAUAACGGUCCUAAGGUAGCGAAAUUCCUUGUCGGGUAAGUUCCGACCUGCACGAAUGGUGCAACGAUCUGGACACUGUCUCGGCCAUGAGCUCGGUGAAAUUGUAGUAUCGGUGAAGAUGCCGAUUACCCGCUAUGGGACGAAAAGACCCCGUGCACCUUUACUAUAGCUUAGUAUUGACUUUGGACAAGUGAUGUGUAGGAUAGGUGGGAGACUUUGAAGCUGCGUCGCCAGGCGUGGUGGAGUCAUUGUUGAAAUACCACCCUUUACUUGUUUGAAGCCUAACCCAUAUUAUGGGGACAGUGCUUGGUGGGUAGUUUGACUGGGGUGGUCGCCUCCAAAAGAGUAACGGAGGCUUCUAAAGGUUCCCUCAACACGGUUGGCAAUCGUGUGUAGCGUGCAAUGGCAUAAGGGAGCUUGACUGAGAGACAUACAGGUCGAUCAGGUACGAAAGUAGAGCAUAGUGAUCCGGUGGUUCCGCAUGGAAGGGCCAUCGCUCAAAGGAUAAAAGGUACGCCGGGGAUAACAGGCUGAUCUCCCCCAAGAGCUCAUAUCGACGGGGGGGUUUGGCACCUCGAUGUCGGCUCGUCACAUCCUGGGGCUGGAGAAGGUCCCAAGGGUUGGGCUGUUCGCCCAUUAAAGUGGCACGCGAGCUGGGUUCAGAACGUCGUGAGACAGUUCGGUCUCUAUCUAUAGUGGGCGCUAGAAAUUUGAGUGGAUCUGACCCUAGUACGAGAGGACCGGGUUGGACCGACCGCUGGUGUACCUGUUGUUCCGCCAGGAGCAUUGCAGGGUAGCUAUGUCGGGAAGGGAUAAGCGCUGAAAGCAUAUAAGCGCGAAACCCACCACAAGAUGAGAUUUCUUUAAAGGGCCGUGGGAGACGACCACGUUGAUAGGCUAUAGGUGUAAAGGCAGUAAUGUCAUAGCCGAGUAGUACUAAUAACCCGUAAGCUUAUGUA
rfam:Leeuwenhoekiella blandensis MED217 scf_1099517004314 genomic scaffold, whole genome shotgun sequence.